GACCUUUUCAAACAGGGCGCAAAGCCUUAUAUCAAAAGGGCUGUUUCGGCAGCUAUGGCAAUAAACGGAAGAUGCAAUAAACCCAUCGGACCCGGGGGCAGUACCCGGCGCCUCCACCACAAACGGCUGGACCGCUUCAAUGAGCCGGUUGUGUUGGGGGCGACACAGGAUCGACGAGGGCGUAAAGAUCAACUUUUUGCCCGGCAUGGUUCCGCCGUUAUCGGGCCGACUCAAUAGUUGCAAACGACAACUAUGCGGAAGCACGUCUCGCCGCUUAAUGCGGUGCGACAGCUUCAAUUAAACUCCUGACCGGUCGCACGGUCAGGCGGGGUUCGGAGGCACCUGGCAACAGAAGCCUCCACU
rnacentral:tmRNA from 1 species